CUGUAUAACCCUGCUGGCCUUGGACUUUGGAUCUUCCUGUGUGGGUUUUCAGCAUGCUGAGAUUAUAGUUCGUGCCACAAAACCUCCCCUCGCUCUAUAGCUGGUGCUAGAGCUCCGAGGUCGCCAGACCAGGCACAGCACCAUCUGUCCUUGACUCCUCCAGCCCAGCUUGGCUACUACAGGAGCCCACAGAGUCUAAGAGUUUUCUCAGAAGCAGCUUUAAUGAAGUGCCAACUUGCUAGCCAGAGGAAGAGCCUCCGUGCUCAACUUGUUAAUCAAACCACCGUUUCCAGCACAAUAGCUCAGCCAGGCUCCAGCCCUCCCUCAGCACAGGACCGCCAGCGCACAGCUUUCUGAAGGAAAGCAAGAGGCCCGGGGCCACCCAGAUGUUAUCUUUUUACAGGGCUUCUUCUCUUUUGUACUUGUGAAAGACAAGGCAUGCAUCCUUAGCAUCAAAAGCAAAACAAAA